GACGAACGCUGGCGGCGUGCUUAACACAUGCAAGUCGAACGGUGAAAGCGGAGCUUGCUCCGCUGGAUCAGUGGCGAACGGGUGAGUAACACGUGGGCAACCUGCCCCUCACUUCGGGAUAACUCCGGGAAACCGGGGCUAAUACCCGAUAUGACCUCCUUGGGCAUCCUGGGGGUGGAAAGAAUUUCGGACAAGGAUGGACUCGCGGCCUAUCAGCUAGUUGAUGAGAUAAAGGAUCACCAAGGAGACGCAGCGUAGCAGGCCUGGGAGGGUGACCGGCAACACUGGGACUGAAACACGGCCCAGACUCCUACGGGAGGCAGCAGUGGGAAAUAUUGCACAAUGGGCGCAAGCCUGAUGCAGCAACGCCGCGUGAGGGAUGACGGCCUUCGGGUUGUAAACCUCUUUUAGCAGGGAAGAAGCGAAAGUGACGGUACCUGCAGAAAAAGCACCGGCUAACUACGUGCCAGCCGCCGCCGUAA
rnacentral:rRNA from 1 species